rnacentral:tRNA from 1 species
ACACCUAUUUAUAGUGGCAGAACAUGCGUUAGCUUUAAGCGCUAAAGAUAAGAGUCCUUCUAUUUCCUAUUGGUGUA